rnacentral:rRNA from 1 species
UACGUCGGGGGCAAGCGUUGUCCGGAAUCAUUGGGCGUAAAGCGCGUGUAGGCGGUUCGAUAAGUCUGCUGUGAAAGUCCAGGGCUCAACCCUGGGAUGCCGGUGGAUACUGUCGGACUAGAGUACGGAAGAGGCGAGUGGAAUUCCCGGUGUAGCGGUGAAAUGCGCAGAUAUCGGGAGGAACACCAAUUGCGAAGGCAGCUCGCUGGGACGUCACUGACGCUGAGACGCGAAAGCGUGGGGAGCAAACAGG